rnacentral:rRNA from 1 species
AUACCUAACUACUAAUUAAACCCUUUAAUUCUAUUGAAUGGUUCUAUAAAGAUAUAGAAACCCCAAUGCUAAAACUAGUAACAAGAAGUUGAGCUUCUCCAAAAUACAAGCAUAAAUCAAAAUGGACCAACCAUUGAUAGUUAACAUUACUGACUCAAAUAUAGCAACCGAACAAGAAAACACUAUAACCCCCCCCCAUGUUAACCUCACACUAGUGUAUUUCUGGAAAGAUUAAAAAAAAGAGAAGGAACUCGGCAAAUCUUAGCCCCGCCUGUUUACCAAAAACACCGCCUCUUGAUUUUUAUAAGAGGUCCAGCCUGCCCAGUGACUCAGUUAAACGGCCGCGGUAUCCUGACCGUGCGAAGGUAGCAUAAUCACUUGUUCUCUAAAUAAGGACUUGUAUCAACGGCAUCACGAGGGCUAUACUGUCUCCCCUUUUUAAUCAGUGAAACUGACUUCCCCGUGAAGAGGCGGGGAUAAGAAUACAAGACGAGAAGACCCCAUGGAGCUUUAAACCCAAUAACAACCUCUAUCUACUUCAACUACUAAAUUAAGAGGGCCUGUUUAUUGGUUUUAGGUUGGGGUGACCCCGGAGUAAAACUUAGCCUCCAGGACGAAUGAAUUUCAUUCUAAUCCCAGAGCCACUGCUCUACGAAUCAAAAUUUUGACACAGACUGAUCCGCUUAGCGAUCAACGAACCAAGUUACCCUGGGGAUAACAGCGCAAUCCAUUUCAAGAGCCCCUAUCGACAAAUGGGUUUACGACCUCGAUGUUGGAUCA